GGAAGUAAAAGUCGUAACAAGGUUUCCGUAGGUGAACCUGCGGAAGGAUCAUUAACGAGAUUGAGGGUUCCUCCUUUGGGGGGCCUGGUUCUCCGUCCUCGUGUCAUACCCUUUGCGGACAUCGAAGCCGGCUAUGGCGGAGAUGGACGUACGCAACAGGUUCGGUGGAGGAGAUGUGUUGCUCUGCUCCGGCCCUUAGGGGAAGGCGAGGAGGAAGACGUCCGCCAUCGUAGUAAAACUUGCAAGGAUUGUGAAGUCUGGUGAAGUGAUAUGAAACAUAUAAAACUUUCAACAACGGAUCUCUUGGCUCUGGCAACGAUGAAGAACGCAGCGAAAUGCGAUAAGUAAUGCGAAUUGCAGAAUCCGUGAAUCAUCUAAUCUUUGAACGCACAUUGCACCUUCUGGUAUUCCGGAAGGUACGCCUGUUCGAGCGCCAUUACACACUCCAAGCUGUGCUUGAUGUUGGACUGGGUCGGGGAACCGACCGGUCUGAAACGCGUUGGCGUCGGCCGCCGACCAUGAGCGUUGCAAACACAACUGUUCGCUCUGUUGGAUUGACGGCCCGGCCCGCCUUGCCGACGAGGGACCCUGUUCGGGCCUCGAGCCGGUGAUAGUUUGUGUCUUCUAGACACACUACGGAACCUU
rnacentral:rRNA from 1 species